UGGUGGCGAUGGCGGAGGGGUUCCACGCGUACCCAUCCCGAACACGACCGUUAAGCCCUCCAGCGCCGAUGGUACUUGGACCGCAGGGUCCUGGGAGAGUAGGACGUCGCCAAGCA
rnacentral:rRNA from 1 species